CCUACGGGAGGCAGCAGUGAGGAAUAUUGGUCAAUGGGCGGGAGCCUGAACCAGCCAAGCCGCGUGAGGGAAGAAGGUACAGCGUAUCGUAAACCUCUUUUGCCAGGGAACAAAGGUGCGGACUAGUCCCCGGCUGAGGGUACCCCAAGAAAAAGCAUCGGCUUACCUCGUGCCAGCCGGCGCGGUAAUACGGAGGAUGCGAGCGUUAUCCGGAUUUAUUGGGGUUAAAGGGUGCGCAGGCGGCCAGUUACGUCAGCGGUAAAAGUACGGGGCUCAACCCCGGCGAGCCGUUGAAACUGGCGGGCUGGAGUUGGAGAGAAGUACGCGGAAUGCGCGGUGUAGCGGUGAAAUGCUUAGAUAUCGCGCAGAACCCCGAUUGCGAAGGCAGCGUACCGGCUCCACACUGACGCUGAGGCACGAAAGCGUGGGUAUCGAACAGGAUUAGAUACCCGAGUAGUC
rnacentral:rRNA from 1 species